CCAGACUCCUACGGGAGGCAGCAGUGGGGAAUAUUGCACAAUGGGGGAAACCCUGAUGCAGCAACGCCGCGUGAGUGAGGAAGUAUUUCGGUAUGUAAAGCUCUAUCAGCAGGGAAUAGAAAAGAAGGUACCUGAAAAAGAAGCCCCGGCUAACUACGUGCCAGCAGCCGCGGUAAUACGUAGGGGGCAAGCGUUAUCCGGAUUUACUGGGUGUAAAGGGGGCGCAGACGGCAGCGCAAGCCAGGAGUGAAAGCCCGGGGCCCAACCCCGGGACUGCUCUUGGAACUGCGCGGCUGGAGUGCAGGAGGGGCAGGCGGAAUUCCUGGUGUAGCGGUGAAAUGCGUAGAUAUCAGGAGGAACACCGGUGGCGAAGGCGGCCUGCUGGACUGCGACUGACGUUGAGGCCCGAAAGCGUGGGUAGCAAACAGGAUUAGAUACCCCUGUA
rnacentral:rRNA from 1 species